AGCUCCAAUAGCGUAUAUUAAAGUUGUUGCAGUUAAAAAGCUCGUAGUUGGAUCUCGGGUCCAGGCUUGUGGUCCGCCGCAUGGCGGUUACUGCUCGUCCUGACCUACCUCCCGGUUUGCCCUUGGUGCUCUUGAUUGAGUGUCUCGGGUGGCCGGAACGUUUACUUUGAAAAAAUUAGAGUGUUCAAAGCAGGCAAUUCGCCUGAAUAAUGGUGCAUGGAAUAAUGGAAUAGGACCUCGGUUCUAUUUUGCUGGUUUUCGGAGCUUGAGGUAAUGAUUAAGAGGGACUGACGGGGGCAUUCGUAUUACGGUGUUAGAGGUGAAAUUCUUGGAUCGCCGUAAGACGAACUACUGCGAAAGCAUUUGCCAAGAAUGUUUUCA
rnacentral:rRNA from 1 species